rnacentral:misc_RNA from 1 species
AUUCUGAAACCGAAAGUUCGAUUAGGGGAGAAGUAAUUUAUAAACAGGGAAAUUUCUUUGAAGUCCCAAACGCAAAAAGAUAAGUUAGAUAUAAGUGUUUUAUGUAUUGUUAGCGUGAAAUCCAAUGCACAAUCAAUAAAAUAACAUCUUUUCUUAUUAUUUGCUUUUGAAAUAAUAUAUAAGAUGUAUGUUAUCCCACCUCAAUUUACGCGAUUCACAUGUAAUUUGUAAUGUUGCUUAUAUGAUAUCUGUCAUGUUUUGCGCAGUGCAUUCAUUGCCGUCCUGACUAUGCAUUCUAUUUUAAAUGAAUGAUGUUACUUACAACGUGAGCUUUGAUUAAGCUAUGUUUACUAAUUCUAUAUAAUUUUUACGAUCUCGAAGCAUACUUUAUAAAACUAUACUGGCCUUGGAUCAGUCCUUCACCUAUACGUGUAUAGUCGCAUGUAGGAGAAGGGGAUCAAACUGACCUUAUACCUCAUUGUUACAUGUACAGUUAGUUUUGGUUUGUAUUUAGGUUGUAUUAGUUCACUCCAGCACGUUAUUUUAUGAGUAAUUGUUGUGUUACAAUGCACUGGUGAGAAAUUUAUGUUAUUAGUCUAUGCCAGUAUAUUUAUAAUACUUUUAUCUGGACAUCGUAUACCCGAUUUAGAAAUUUUUGCAGGUUUUUCAUCUUUUGAACAUGGAAGACCAACUUCUGGAGAAUAUGGAGAUAGAUAAAGAUACAUGUAAUUAUAGCUCAGAGGAGGAGGAUGAUGUCAAUGAAUUGAUAAAAGAGAUAUUUGGUGAUGAAGAAUCAUUGGAAGAGGAGCAUGAGGAGGAGUAUGAAGAUGGAAAUUAAAUGUGGAAUGAGACACGAGAAAACUAUGAAGAUGAAUACUCUCUUCUGAGAGAGAGGAGAUUUGUUGUUGGUGAGGGUGCUCUCUUGAGUCUCAUCAAGAGGACAACAUGCGAGCAGUGUGGGGAGCCCAUAGACCCAUCAACAGAUGUCGAAGGAGAAAAGAUACCAGAAGGAGUGAACUACAAAUUCCUUUGCUGUAAUGGCCAUCCAGGAAAAUGGAUUUCCACACCAUUUUAUGGAGGCAGAAGCUUCAUUAGUAUUUUACUCCAACUCAUGGUGCUUCUUACAGGCCAUAAUACACAUGGAAGUAGGCGAUUCCAGGGAAGUUGACAGGCACAGUUCCAAGAUGGAAAGGCUUCUCAUUGACAGAGGACUACAACAUCUACUCACUGCCUCUCUUCUUGUUAUAUGGGAAAUCAUUUCUGAUGCUAGCAGAAACAUAAUUUCUUUGAUGAAAUCAGAACCAUACAAGCACCUGCAGCACAGCUUGGACAUUUGGCAUAAGGCUAAAAAGCUCACAAUAUCUCUUUCUGAUAUUGCAAAGAAACCAGGAUGCAGAGGACUGUUGCAAUGGAUACGGCCUAUUGUGAAUCAUUUUUGGUGGUGCUGCAGUACUUGUAAAGGCAGUGUCGAGCGUCUGUUGAAGAGGUGGAUGGGAAUCCUGUACCAUAUCAUCAAUAAACAUGUGUGGGCAGGUGGACGGAUGUUGGUAACAAACAGAGAUUGGAGUGGAAGCAUGAAAUUUUACACCAACUGUCGACAAACCUGAGCUGUGGAAAACUUUUUUAGCCAUACACUCCUUCAUUACUGUCCAAAACAGAAAUCCUAUGGUUAUGACGCCUAUCAUAUUAGGAACAUGGUGGCUGUCAUGGACCACAACAACCACCUUGGAAGGAUGCCAUUGGUUGGACAGGAUGGAGAAGUGUAUGCUAAAGGCCAGGUAUCCAGGAGGACGAAACAGUGGGUUGCAUAUGAGGAGAAAGCACCCAAAAAUGUUAAAUAUAUUCCAGAACUGAUGGCUGCUUGCAUGAGAGCAACAUAUGGUGUUUCUGAAACCAAGUUCAGAAAGAGUAGAAAAUCCAUAUUUUUGGAUUCAAUUGCGAAGAACCUUUCUGGGGAAACAAAUCCGGGAUCAUGAAUCAUUUUAGCCACGAUGCAGAGCAGAAAAAGACAGCUGAGAAUAAAUGAAUUCAUUCAAUAUUUAUUCAGAGUUAUCAGAAUUAGCAGAAUGGUAACCCCUGUAUUGUCCGCUUGCCUCAGGAAAACGUCUUCUCAAGGCAACACAAACACAGGAAGUAACUGGUAUUCGCCUUCCAGCUCCCAGCCGCCUAUGUUGCCACAGGACAAAGUUUCUGUAGGCCUGGUUUCUCAAUGUCGACAGUUGAUAACUAGGAUCUUGGUUGGUCCGAAAACUCCAAUUCAAAAUGUUGGCAACCUCCAAUACAUCAUGCCUCAAGCACAAAUUUCUGAAUUCGGGUUUUGAGGUGAUGCAUGGAAAUUGCCUACAACAGAUGUUCAUGCGGGGAUCAUCAAAACUUCGACAUACCCCACAUGAACACCAUUGCACAUUUGAAUUAGAGUUUUCAUUCCUUCCACUAUUCUCCAUCUGCCUCAUUAGAAAAGGUCUUACAAAAUCUGGUUCGGCAGCUGUCAUGAUUUUCACUCUUUGCCGCAGUUCAUCAACAGGCAUACUGUCAACAGCAUUCUAUAAAAAAAAAAUUAAAAACUGUAGAUGUAAAAAAAAAUAUCCAAAAUUUGUUUUUUGUGUAUCAUUUUGUAAAAAAAAAUCAGUGAAAUUCAUUUCAUAUCAUCUAAGAAACACUAAGCUCUUGGUCAUUGAUGUUUUCAGGGCAAGCCGCCAUAGAAAGCUGUUGAUUACGGCUUACUCCUUCAUUCUGGAUCACAUUACGACUGCUGUUUGAGACAUAUGGAUGGUGGCGAUGGUAAAAAAACGACAAAAUAUUAUUCCCUCUCUAUCUAGGAGGACUUCAUCGUGGUGGGAGGGUGAAUAUCAGGAAUUGGUGGCCAACACUCCUAGAAUUUACAUAUACAUGUUCUUACUGUGCUUACUGACCUAGUUUGGGUUGACUUGCACUGACAGUUUGUGUUAUUACAAUUACUGCAGGGUCUCCGCUUGCAUGCACAACUUUUACACUUCCCCCUGUUAUCACAAGGAUCUCUACAAAAAAGUUUUGUAUAUUGAAUGUUUCAGGAUUUUUUUUAUUUUGAGUGAUAUAUAUAUAUCUUUCAUACUGGUGUGUAAUAAAACAAUACUUCUGUUUAUGCAUAUAUUGGGCCUUUGCCGAUUAUUGUUAUUGUGUUUGUGUCAAUGAAAUAUAUGUAUUUAUAUUUGUGCUUCGAGUUUUGAAUUGGUAGAUAUUAUAAUCUAAUUAGAAAUUUGGGAUCAAUCAUUCAUCAAAUAUUGCAUAUAAACAUAACUACAUGUAAAUGUUUUUAUGAUUAUUUGAAGAGAUAUUAGGCCUGUCAUUGUCAAAAACUAUAAAGAUUUCAGCAUCAGUAUACCCAUUGUUAAAAAAAGUAAUUUCUCAUCAUACUUCUUUUCCUCUCUUUGCCUCCCCCAGUCAUUAUUGUAGAGACCAUACAUCAUUUUAUUGCAGUCAAAAAUAUGACCGUUUAGGCCCAUUAUUUCAGCUAGGUAAAUUCUUGUUUUUGUAAGAAUAUUUUCAAAUAAAUUUCAAUUCACAUGCAC